rnacentral:lncRNA from 1 species
CAGAAUUAUGUCUCUCUUGGAUCCCAAAUCCCACCACUGUGGAGCACUCUAAAUUCAAGUUUUGGAAACAGGUACGUAUGUGAAUCACUUGAAGAACUUUUUAAAAUAUAAAUUUCAGAGCCCUACCCCAAGCAACUGAAUCAGGAAAUUAUGGCUCCCAAAUUUUAUGAUGAUAAAACUGUUUUUUUACUGGACCCUCUCAUAGAGAUAAGUGUUAGGAAGAAGGCAUUUUGGCAAUGAAACCACCGCAGGUGUAAAUCUCCAAAGAGUGGCCAGACUUUGAUGCCAACGAGGGAAAGAACAAGAUAAAAGCUUCCAGUGUGGUUUGCUUGGUUCAGUUAAUUGAUUUGUUUUAUUAUGUUUAUUUACUUUUACAUUUUUGGAUCAUAGCUAUUGAGUGCUCAAUAAAUGUGCUUGGCUGACAGUUUUUGAAAUAACCUUUUUUUGUGGUCCACUUUACUGCUUUUAAUAAAUGCAACACUUUACCUGUUAAAAAUAAAAAUUCAAAGCCAAGGAAAACAAUUGAUUUAAGCCACUAGAAAGUUUCUCCUACCCUCUACUGUCCCUGUAUUUUCACCAUGUUCAUAAACAAGAAGUAAAUUCUGCUUUCUCAAGAAGUAACGGAAUAAUCUCCGAAGGAACACCAUGGAUAGCAAUUAUUUUAAAAAUCCUCACCAAUGUGCAUCUAUAUUUUUAUCUUUUCUCAUGAUCAUGAGAUGGUUUUGCUUUCUGAAUUACUGAAAUGCUGUUUACUUUGGCUGGAAUUAUUUGCUUAUGCUACCACAUAAGCCACAGGUAAAUUGUCAUUAUUGUUCAAAUAGGGGAAAGGUAGAAACCAGAGCUUUGACCACUUGCUCUUUCCAGUCUCACUAUGGAAGAACCCUCAGAACAUGCAUGCCCUGAAGCUGUCAUAACCCUCACCCUGCCUCACCACUCAUUCUGCUGCUCAAUGGCCUAAGAAUAAAUGAACAGUCUCUAAUAUAAACCAAGUCCCACCACAAACUAUGGCAGAAUGAAAGAGCAGUUCUUUUGUUUUUGUUGUUUUUUUUUUCUUUGUUAUACAGAUUUGUAACUGUAAGAUCAUAUUCUACUGCUUGAAACAGGGCAGAGCAAACAUUACAUAAUCCCCGCUGAUUGAAGAGCAACGACUAUUUAGUUUUCAAAAUCACUUCCAGAUAACAACUCCCACUUAAAUCAUCUUAAGUAUUUUAAUAUGUCUUAAUCAGAAAUGGCUGAGAUAAAAGUGACACUUUUCUAUUGGGGGGAGUUUUAGUUUGUAGAAAUUAUCUCAGUUAAAUAGUCAUAAAAGCUACAGUCUGAAAAUAAACAGCCUACCAACAGUCUUAAGUAUACAUGGUGCAGAUUUGUGACACAAUACACAGUCCUCUUCCCCUUGCAGUUAGGCAGAGUAUGUACUUAGGUCUGGUUGAUGGGUUAGGAGUAAAAAAAUUUACUUUUCCAGGAAAGUUCUUUAGCAUUCUCUCCCCCUAUGGCAGCAAUCAUAGCGCAGAUUUCAUGUUGAAGCCAUAGAGCCCUGAGAUGGAAAUAGCUAGAUUCCUGGGUGACCUCAUGGAGGUCAGUUGUCCUGGAAGGCAAUCAGACUUACAGUAGACUUUGCACAGAUGAAAAAUAAAAUCUUGCUGUAUCAAGCCACUGAAGUUUAGGCACUGUUUGUUAUUGCACCACACCAUAACCUAGCCUAGCCUGACAAAUACAGUAUGUACUAGAGAAAAAUGCUUAAUAAUGCCAACAUGCCAACAUCACAAUAACCUCCUUAUACAGGAUUCACCAACAGACAUUCUGUCCAUUUGGGACCUAUCCGCUCUGUUUUUUGCAUGACUUUUUCUGUUUUGUAUCCAUGUAUUAUGGCCAAGCAUUUAAAAUAUGGUUUUUUAUUCUCUUUGUCAUAUCUAAACAAAGUUCAGGUUCAUUUUACAGAUAUUAGAGUUACAAAAAUGUUCAAUCCUUUUGGUCUCUUACCCCUUGAUCCCUAUAUCACUACUAAUCUUUUUUUUUUCUCUGUGCUCAUAUGACCAUCUCUUUCCCCAGCAUAUUCAACAGUUAAGGAUACAGGUUUUAGAAUCAAGCAGACCCAGGUUUAAGGCACUCACUAUUAGCUGUUUCUAUGCUUCAGUUUCCUCAGUGCAGAACAACAAUGACUGGAGAACCAACCUCAUGACUUGCUGUUUUGUUUUGAAGAUUAACCAGACUAUUACACGUAAGGCAUUUAGCCUAACACAGCAUCUGAAUAAAUGUUUCUUCAAGUGAACUAAAGAGGAAGGGAACUAAUAUUUGCUGAGCAGAGCUUGACCCACUUAAAACUCACAGCAACCCUGCAAGGUGUUAUAUUUUGCUUUUAUAGAUUUCUUUCGAGACCCUUCCCAUCACCUAAAGAAUUUCUUUAAUAAUAAAUUAUAAACUUCAAAGUCCUCACUCAGAAGAUCACCAGAAACCAAAGUAUGAGAAAAAUUAACCACGUAUGAUCUCAUCAGACCAAAUCUGGAGAAGCAUAUGAGAAAACCAGUGGCUGGAACCUAAAGAAAAGGAAGGUAUCCUGAUACAUAAAUACCUUUUGCCCUAUAUGUGGUAGUGAAGAAACAGAACUGUCUUAAGAAAUGGUUUAAAUUUCUUAAGCCUCUGCAGGGCCCACCUGAAUGGAGGGAAAUAGAACCCUGCAAAGCAAAGAAAGCAAGAUGUUUCUGCUGACAAUGAAAGAGAACAAGUUUCCCAACAACUUAAAAGGGGAUGAAAAGCAAAAUUUUGGAAAAAAACAACAUGGCAAAGGGCAUAUUACCCCGCAAUGGAUACCUAAGGACACAGUGUUCAGAAUUACUAAUAGUGCUAUCUCUAGGAACAAUUCAGGAAGCCAAAUUCAGGAAGUAUGAGAAUCUGAUAGGCAAAAAUUGUGAGAAGCCAAUUCAGGAAGUGUGAGAAUCUGAUAUGCAAAAACUGAGGCACCCUAUGGAACAUUUCUUAGAGACUAGGAUUCUUGGGGCAAAGGUAUUCCAGAGCAUAAGGCUGUGGAAGCAGCCAACUAAAGCACAGAGAAAAGAAGUGUAAGACCCUGCAGAGGAUGAAGAACACAGAGGAAAUAUCAGUGUAUGUGGAGAAGCCAGACCUUUCUUUGACAAUGCCCAGAGACCUGGUACCUGGUAUACCAUGGUCACAGGAAUUGGUACUUGUGGUCACUAAACAGAAACUCUACUUGAGUCAACAUUGAUUUUUUUGGAACACUAAAGGAAAAUAAAAAUUGAGCGGCUUUAAAUAUGUAAAUUAGUACUCAGAGGAAAUAGAGUGCCUUGGGACUUGAAUGUGGAGGAUAUCACCAUUUUGUAGGAAGAGAGGUUGUCUCAAAGUCCUCUUUUUGAUCAAAGAUGCCAAAAGCACAAGGAAGCUUGUCUUCAUGCAUAUGAAAUGAAUAGGGUCACACUUAACUUAUUGGUGGGCACUUCUCCCAAAUGAAGUUGAAUUUUCAGGUCAUCAACUCCCAGAAGACUAAAACCAACUGACUUAUUGAUCCCAAUACGGCUGAAAGAUUUUUUUUCUAUUACUUUUUUCUUUUUGCUCUUGAUUUUGUUUGGAAAAUGCUCUUGCUGCAAGAAUCACAUUGGCUUUAAAUUGUGUAGCUAUGGGUUUGCUGCUAUAUGUGUUCCAUUACUACUUUGGAACUUUGAAAAAUCAAAAGUGGACAAUGACAGAGUAGAAUUAGUUCACCUCUAGAGAUGCUGAAGGAGUGGCAUCUAUUAUUCUACUGCCACCUAUCUAAUACAUACUGUAAAUGCCAGAGGAACCAGGCAUCUGAAUGGGACUCCUCUUCAUUCAUUCACACAUUCAGCAAGCAUUUAUUGAACACAUUCAAGGUGCCAGGAAUUCUUCUAAAUUCUGGAGAAUAAUGAUGAGCAGAAACACAGUGCUUGGGGAGACUGACAAUAGCUGAAUAAUCACCCAAUGAAUGUAUGCUUUUCAAUAGAAACAGGAGUUCUAAAGGGAAGAAACAUUUGUAAUGUGAGAGCUUUUACCAAAAGAACCUGCAUCGGGGAAGGCUCUCCUGUGAAAAUGCUAUGAACUGCAAUCUACAGGAAGAGUAGAAUUUUAGUAGGGUUAAAGAGAGGAAGAGCUUUUGAGACAAAAACUGCCACAGAAAGGGCCUGAUAUGCUAAGAAUAUGAAUUAAACCAGUGCAGGUGGAAUGCAAAACAUAAGGUUGAGAUGGUAAGAGAUGAAGCUGGAGAGAGAGGCAUGGAUAAAGUCAUGUAGGACCUCAGAGGCCAUAUUAUAGACUUUAGUUUUUAUCUUAAGAGCAUUACAAAGCCACUGGAAAAUUUUAAACAAUGAGGUGAUGGGAACAGAUUUGCUUCUGAAAAGUUUGCUCCAAAAACACAACAGGCUGAAGGUGCAAGAAGUUAAGAAGCUGAAGCAUAAAUUUAAAGUAACUAUUGGAAUAGUACAGAUGAGAGAUGAAAGAAUCUUGAAUUAGGGCAUUAAAUGAAGAUAAAUUGAUGAAUUUUAGACAUUUUAUUAUAAAGAAGUAAUAGUGGACAGGACUUGAUUAUACACUAGAUAUUAGACUAUGGAAAGUAUCCAAGAUUGCUACUUGGUUUCUGACUUAAGUAAUUAAAUGGAUGAGCGCCGGUGUAAUUCACUGAGACAGGGAACACUGUAGGAAGCUUGGAGGGAGGAUCAUAAAUUCAAUCUGAGUUUGAGGAACUUUUGAGAUGUCUAAGUAGAUAUGCCAAGCAAUCACAAUAUAUGAGCCAGCAGCUCAGAUGAGAGGUUUCUGCUUGAGAAAUAAAUUUGCAACAUUUGGUUGUAUUAUUCAUAAGUCAGAAAUCAAGCCAUGGCUAUGAAUGAUACUGAAUAAGGAAAAAUUAUAUAGUGAAAGAAGGGAGCAUAGAACAGAGGCUCAUGGAACUUGAACAUUUAAUGUCUAGAUGGGUAAGGAUGAAUGUUCUUUCAAGGUGGCUGAGAAGGAGGGGCCAGAGAGGGAAGAGAAAAACCAAAGGAAUAUGGGCCCCUAACCUCUUAAUGCUUGGUUUUGAUGGUAUGAAGGUGUUUCAAGUAAAGAGGAUGUUUCUGAUAAAAAGUUGACUCCAAUUUCAAAUGUUUCUGAUGGAUUGUGUGAGAUGAGGAUUGAAAACUGCCCUUUGGAUUUAGUGAUAUGGAAGUCGAUGGUGAUUAGAUAGAGAGGUUUUAAUUUAAGAAGCCAGAAAGGAGUCAGUUGAGAGGUGAGAGGUGACAUAAUUAGACAAUGAAUUUAGACUACUUUUUCAAGAAAUUUUAAUACCAAGGGAAAGGGACAGAUAAUUUGGGAGCUGGAGAGGGUUGUGUGUGUGUAUGCAUGCAUGUGUGCUAAUAGGAAGCUUCUCAUAAUUUCACCUGUCCCCAUGAAAAGAAACUGUUGACUAUACAUAAGAGAGCUAUCUAAGGUUAACUAAGAAUUCUUUCUCUGAUCCAUUUCAGAGGCUUUGAGACAACAGCUGAAUUGCUCAUCUCAUUGUCUUAGAACAUAGAAAGAGCAGAGCUUGUAGAAGUGAACAGUCUCAUGUAUAUGGGCCAGGAGUUACCUCAUAAACUGCUAACCUUCUUUUUAACAGGACAUAGUUUAUUUUGAGCUUGACUAGGGGAAAAAGGGAUUUAGGCAGUGUAUCAAACUGUUCUUGCAUUGCUAUAAAGAAAUACCUGAAAGUGGG